rnacentral:rRNA from 1 species
UACGUCCACACCUUUUAGGUGUGGGCCAGUUGGCUGUCAUACUUCCAAGAAAAGCUCGAACUACUGUAAAGCAUCAAAUACCUGUACCGUAAACCGACACAGGUGGGUUGGUAGAGUAUACCAAGGGGCGCGAGAUAACUCUCUCUAAGGAACUCGGCAAAAUGACCCCGUAACUUCGGGAGAAGGGGUGCCAAGUAACUAAAGUUGCUUGGUCGCAGUGACCAGGCCCUGGCGACUGUUUAUCAAAAACACAGGUCUCCGCAAAGUCGUAAGACAACAUAUGGGGGCUGACGCCUGCCCAGUGCCGGAAGGUUAAAGAAGUUGGUUAUUCAUUCGUGGAGAAGCUGACGACUGAAGCCCCGGUGAACGGCGGCCGUAACUAUAACGGUCCUAAGGUAGCGAAAUUCCUUGUCGGGUAAGUUCCGACCCGCACGAAAGGCGUAACGAUCAGGGCACUGUCUCGGAGAGAGACUCGGUGAAAUAGACAUGUCUGCGAAGAUGCGGACUACCUGCACCUGGACAGAAAGACCCUAUGAAGCUUGACUGUAGCUUGGAAUUGGGUUCGGGCUCUUCUUGCGCAGCCUAGGUGGGAGGCGUUGAAAGCUUUCUUUUGGGAAAGCUGGAGCCAUCAGUGAGAGACCACUCUGGAGGAGCUAGAAUUCUAAUGGCGUUCCUUGAAGCAGGACGCUUGACAGUUUCAGGUGGGCAGUUUGACUGGGGCGGUCACCUCCUAAAAGGUAACGGAGGUGUGCAAAGGUUCCCUCAGGCUGGACGGAAAUCAGCCGUAGAGUGUAAAGGCAGAAGGGAGCUUGACUGCAAGACCUACAAGUCGAGCAGGGGCGAAAGCCGGCCUUAGUGAUCCGACGGUUCCAUGUGGAAGGGCCGUCGCUCAACGGAUAAAAGUUACUCUAGGAUAACAGGCUGAUCUUCCCCAAGAGUUCACAUCGACGGGAAGGUUUGGCACCUCGAUGUCGGCUCAUCGCAACCUGGGGCGGUAGUACGUCCCAAGGGUUGGGCUGUUCGCCCAUGAAAGCGGUACGUGAGCUGGGUUCAGAACGUCGUGAGACAGUUCGGUCCAUAUCCGGUGUAGGCGUUAGAGCAUUGAGAGGAGCCUUCCAUAGUACGAGAGGACCUGGAAGGACGCACCUCUGGUAUACCAGUUAUCAUGCCAAUGGUACACGCUGGGUAGCCAUGUGCGGAGUGGAUAACCGCUGAAAGCAUCUAAGUGGGAAGCCCACCUCAAGAUGAGUGCUCUCCAUCAGGUCACAGGAAGACAACCUGUUUGAUAGGCAGAAGGUGUAAGGCUAGUAAUAGUUUCAGCUGAUCUGUACUAAUAGACCGAUUAAUUUU